GCAAGUACGACUGCUGUCGUGAUGUCAUGUGUAGAGGAUGACGUGGGUGGGGAUGUGGCAGGGGUGAGUAACACGUGGGCAAUCUGCCCUGCACUCUGGGACAAGCCCUGGAAACGGGGUCUAAUACCGGAUACUGAUCCUCGCAGGCAUCUGCGAGGAUCGAAAGCUCCGGCGGUGCAGGAUGAGCCCGCGGCCUAUCAGCUAGUUGGUGAGGUAACGGCUCACCAAGGCGACGACGGGUAGCCGGCCUGAGAGGGCGACCGGCCACACUGGGACUGGAGAACACGGCCCAGACUCCUACGGGAGGCAGCAGUGGGGAAUAUUGCACAAUGGGCGAAAGCCUGAUGCAGCGACGCCGCGUGAGGGAUGACGGCCUUCGGGUUGUAAACCUCUUUCAGCAGGGAAGAAGCGAAAGUGACGGUACCUGCAGAAGAAGCGCCGGCUAACUACGUGCCAGCAGCCGCGGUAAUACGUAGGGCGCAAGCGUUGUCCGGAAUUAUUGGGCGUAAAGAGCUCGUAGGCGGCUUGUCACGUCGGUUGUGAAAGCCCGGGGCUUAACCCCGGGUCUGCAGUCGAUGCGGGCAGGCUAGAGUUCGGUAGGGGAGAUCGGAAUUCCUGGUGUAGCGGUGAAAUGCGCAGAUAUCAGGAGGAACACCGGUGGCGAAGGCGGAUCUCUGGGCCGAUACUGACGCUGAGGAGCGAAAGCGUGGGGAGCGAACAGGAUUAGAUACCCUGGUAGUCCACGCCGUAAACGGUGGGCACUAGGUGUGGGCAACAUUCCACGUUGUCCGUGCCGCAGCUAACGCAUUAAGUGCCCCGCCUGGGGAGUACGGCCGCAAGGCUAAAACUCAAAGGAAUUGACGGGGGCCCGCACAAGCGGCGGAGCAUGUGGCUUAAUUCGACGCAACGCGAAGAACCUUACCAAGGCUUGACAUACACCGGAAAACCCUGGGAGACAGGGUCCCCCUUGUGGUCGGUGUACAGGUGGUGCAUGGCUGUCGUCAGCUCGUGUCGUGAGAUGUUGGGUUAAGUCCCGCAACGAGCGCAACCCUUGUCCCGUGUUGCCAGCAGGCCCUUGUGGUGCUGGGGACUCACGGGAGACCGCCGGGGUCAACUCGGAGGAAGGUGGGGACGACGUCAAGUCAUCAUGCCCCUUAUGUCUUGGGCUGCACACGUGCUACAAUGGCCGGUACAAUGAGCUGCGAUACCGCGAGGUGGAGCGAAUCUCAAAAAGCCGGUCUCAGUUCGGAUUGGGGUCUGCAACUCGACCCCAUGAAGUCGGAGUCGCUAGUAAUCGCAGAUCAGCAUUGCUGCGGUGAAUACGUUCCCGGGCCUUGUACACACCGCCCGUCACGUCACUGAAAGUCGGUAACACCCGAAGCCGGUGGCCCAACCCCUUGUGGGAGGGAGCUGUCGAGGGUGGGACUGGCGAUUGGGACGAAGUCGUAACAAGGUAACCGA
rnacentral:rRNA from 1 species